AUGGCGAGCCUCCUCUCCCUCGUGCUGCUCCUCGCGCUCCUCGACACGUCGCGCGCCACAAACUUUGAGGUCGGCGGCGACGCCGAGUGGGUCGUCCCACAGGCCGGCGAUUCCCAAACGUACAACCAUUGGGCGUCCAAGAACCACUUCCACGUCGGCGACAUCGUCCAUUUCAAGUACAAUCAGGACUCGGUGAUGGUGGUGACGGAGGAGGGGUACAACAAGUGCGAGUCGUCGCACCCCAUCUUCUUCUCCAACAGCGGUAACACCCAGGUGCGCCUCGACCGCCCCGGCCCCUUCUACUUCAUCAGCGGCGUCACCGGCCACUGCCAGGGCGGGCAGAAGCUGGUCAUCAAGGUCACUGACAAGGCCCGGCCACCAUCGGGGCCCCCCAGCGGGGCCGCGCCGGCGGGCUUUGGAUCCGCCGGCGCCAUUGUUGUCCUGAUGGCUGUGCUUUGGCCUCUUCUUGUUAUGCAUGAUAUUUGA
rnacentral:rRNA from 1 species